CAAAACAAAAAUCAGACAUUGUGUUGACACAAUAUAUCACUAAAAAUUAAAUAAAAAAACAGAUAUGUCAUGAUGUCACAUUAAAUUAAUAAAAUGUAGCUAGAAAUUUGACAUAUUUGCUAUCACGCUGCGAUACCAGAAACUUGGCGAAAAUACAGCACGAUGUAUCACAUGAAGUACUGACAGCAAAAAUGCAGCAGAAAUCGAGCAGAGCCUGCCGUCAUGACAUGACGGCGAAAACGCGGCAGGUAUAGAACGCGAGUUUGCUACAUCAGAUGUGUGAUGACUUCUGCACACAGGACGCGGCAAAGCGGCAUCGCGGCGGUAGUAAGGUUGAUCGCCCGACGUGUCUCCCGUCGAAUCCCACACUUCCCGGACCUGAUCCUCCCAGAAGUCUUCUCAAAGAUUUCCACCUUCAUAUAAAAAAAAA